ACACAGCAGAUUGUAGAUUAUUAUAGGGAGGAUUUCAAGAGAGAGACAGGAAAGAAAAGAGGGGAAGCCGAGAGCUCUUGGUGGAGAGUCGGGUUAGGGUUCUUGGGAUGCUUCUUGGGCUAAUUCUUGGAGGAGAUCGGUUCUCUCGCGAUCCCCGUCUCCGCCUCUCUCUCUCGCCUCAUUUCUCGACGAAUACUCAACCGAUCGGGAAACGAAAGGUGCCGUUGGAUUCCUAACUCCGCCACCGACAUUUCUAUUGGAGCAAAUUUGUCGUGAGAAAGGCUUCAGCACUGCUCUUGGGGAAAGGAAUAAUUUAUUGGAGUUAGGAAUUUUUGAUUCAUGGUCCGGGUGAGGGCCGCAGGUAUUUUUCGGAGUCCCUGUUGGCGUAGUUCAAGAAACCAGGUGAUCUAGCCAGACGAGCAGAUCAGACUCGCAGGUAGAGGGGUUUCAGUACUGCCCUAUCAGUAGAGUGAGUAUUUUUGGGAGUAUUUUUGUAUAGCCCUAACCCAGUUGAGAGUAUUUUGGGAAACAAUCAUAUAUGUAUAGUUUGGGGAACAUUGUAGCUUUCUUGUAUUGUACAUAUUUAUA